AUAUAACUUUAUGAUUACUAUUAGCGAUUGCCGUUUUUCUAUCAGAGCAUUCUCAUAAAUAAUCGAUAUUUUUUAUCGGAUAAACCAAAGUAUUUAAAUAUACAUUUUUUCUGCCAUAAUCGUGAAAAAUUUCCACACCACGUGUGACUUUGAUAACGGACGGGAUGCAUAUUCAACACUGCAUUCUGUACGAGUUUUAUCAAGAAAAGAAUGCAACAGAAACGUACAAAUUAAUUUCUUGGCAACAAUAUUGUAUCCUACGAUGUAUUAUAUGUGCUUUCUAGCUAAAUAGUAAUGCUUUAAAGAGUGAUUUUGGUUCGAGUGACCGUAUGCUCCGAAAUGUCUCGGAAAUAGAGAAACAAUAAGAUUCAGGCAUUGCAUGACGAAAAUCCAGCUCAAUAAGAUCUACGAGAAUCAUAAAACGAAUAAAUUUAAUAAAUAUCGAUUCAAUGAAAUUCAAUUUUGUACAAAAUUUUUAAAGAAGUUGAAAUGGCCUCUUAUUUUGGCAUGCCUCCAUCUUGUACCUCGAUGGAGCAUGAAUGCUUGUAGGAGGUAGAGUAAAGAGGAACUUGCCUUCGGAAUCCACACGAUACUGUCUGGAGCCGUUCUCUAAGUUCCAAACAAUUUUUAUAGCUUCAUUUCACACAGGCUUAUGCAGGAAAAAAUUUUAAACAAUUUUAGUUUUAUCAUUAGUUGGACGGACCAUGUAUAAGUCGUUUUUAGAAUAACUCAAUUUCAUGAAUAUUUUAUUUCACAUGUUUUAUAUCGGACCAAUUUACAAAUUUUAUCAACUACUGCAAAAAUUACAGAUUACACAAUGAUAAGACAAUCUUCAAAGGCUACUGCUCCGGCAGUUUGUACCGCAAAAAUAAACGGAAAUGCUGAAUAUUCUGCUGGAUAAACAUUUAUCUGGAACUGCGAGGUUAUGAAGCCUCUUAAAAGAGAUAACUACAGAAUCCAUCCUGAUAUGUGACUUGCGAUCUGAUUGAAGUGGAGCACACAGGCAGCAGAAGCAGAUCACAUUGAACUGGAAUAAUGCAGUUGCUGUCACAGAUCAACGCGAGAUAAUGCGAGAUCAAUCAAGAUAACGGGAGUGACUACCAUUUUCAAGACAAAUGCAGAUGUGCACAUAUGCGACAUAACGAUUGCUGUGGAGUGCGCGUAGUCUUUGCAUCUGUUAAACGACGUACUAAUCAUCGCUUUGGAAUCACGUGGCAUAAAUUUCAUGAGUAAUAAAGUAAGCUGCGAGUAACAAUAAUCACUAAAGACCUAAGUAGCGUUUCAAUCUUCUGAAUCAUUAAACAAAA